CGUUAUUGUGUUUGACGUUAAGAAACUGCACAGUACUUGCACUAUUCACACUAGACUGAACACACUAAGAAAAAAAUUGUAGAUUAUGCUAGUUUUAGUGUACUAAUAAUCUUAAUUUUAGUAAUGACAGGAGGCGAGUAUUUUGCAUAAUCUCUCUUUACUAGCUCCACACAGCAGCAAAGAAACAUAUAGAAAAAAAGAACCAAUCACAUGAGAGUAGGAUGUACAUAAGGCACAGUGACCUCAUCAUUUCCUCUUUCAAAAAGCGAGAUCAAGCAGAAGUAAACAUAUAACAAGCAAAACAAUAACUCUUAAGUCCAACAUCCGAAGGAGCAAACUUCCCCGGUGAAUUCUACACAAACAUCGAAAUGUGUUCAGGGAUGAAUCAAAUCUGAAGGAUCAAAAUUCCAGAGUUUCACACGAACAACAAAAUGACUUCAAAGACGAAUCAUACUGAAAAGAGAAUGUGUGACAGGUUUAGACACAAAGUCAUGAACAUGAAAAUCCACGUAUACAUCAUCCCAUAGAAGAAAAUUGUAAACUACAAUCUAAUAACUGAAUAACUAUAAUGUAAAACUCCAAUGAGAAUUCCAUAUUAAUGGAAAUACAAUCAUUAAUGUAAGCACAAAACAUUGAAAGCCAAACCUACCUUAGGGUGGGUAGCGAAGCAGGGAGGGAAAAUAAUUGCCUCCUGUCAUUACUAAAAUUAAGAUUAUUAGUACACUAAAGCUAGCAUAAUCUUCAAUUUUACAACAUGACAGGAGGUUUCCUAUUUUGCUUUUUUAACGCUGAGAAAGAAAUAGAAAAUUAAUGAAGAAGCCGAAAGUGCGACGGAAUACCUAGCACGUCGGGUCUACUGGAGAAACCUCCCUGUCGAAUGCCUGAUCAUCCGGUACCUGGCAGAAAGACACCGGUCCAAGCAUAAAAGUCUAUCAGUAGGUGCCCCAGUCCCGUAGAAAAAAACAGAGAAUGACCUCCAUGUCCCAUGAGCCAGAGGUGGAUGUCACUGGGUAAGGGUACAUACAUUUCAGGAUCCUUGUCCAUCGGGAGUCCCCAGACCGGGACACGGGCCAUAUAGUUGUCCAAACCAACCCAUAAUGGAUCAAGGUACAGUUCCAAACAUCAGUCAGACCGGGAAUGCCCAGAGGUAGCAUCAUUAUGUCCCUGGGGCCCAAGAGGUCCCUAGCAGCCUACGAUAGUUCGACGACCUGCCAAGAACCCCAGCAAGAGUCCCGGCCACCAGGGUCAGCCGACCCUCCAGGAAGAGAAGAUGCGGGUUUCCUUCAGAUCUGUGAGAAUAGUAGGAUAUGAAUGUAGGAGGAAGAUAUGCGAGAUCCGAGAAACAAGGUUGACUCUGUCACAGCGGGACGGCAAAGGCAGUGUUGUUCGCUGAACAAUGAGAUGAUGGAGAAGUUUCGCAAUCAUCACAAGGGAGGAAAACCAUACGUCCCCCGGGGAGGCCCAGGUGGCCGGAGUGCGAUC